CCCUGCCAUUUGUACACACCGCCCGUCGCUACUACCGAUUGAAUGGCUUAGUGAGGCCUUGGGAUUUCGAGUGCUCAGAAAUGGGUCACCUGAAAAAACUUGGCCAAACUUGGUCAUUUAGAGGAAGU
rnacentral:rRNA from 1 species